UUUUCAAAAAAGAAAGAAAAACAAAGAAAAAGAGGUUGGAAAGCAGUGAGCAGUGGGUUCUGUUUGGGGCGGUACUCAGACUCAACUGGUCCAACAAAUUGGACCUCACCCCACCGGAAAACCUACACACACCCCCGCUCUCUCUCAUUCCCCAAAACACUGCGUUUCAUCUCUCUGUGUUAAGCAUGUGGAACUAUUCAUAGCCUUCCCAAAAAUAACAGUACACGGAUAUAUAUCCACCCAAUAAAUAUGAACACUGAAAUGGUGGACAUGGAAGGACAAAACCGGGAAAAAUGUGCAUUAGCACAUGCUGAACCUAAUAAGGGAGAAAGACAAAAUAUGAUUGAAAAUGCUACACAGAGAGAGGUAUCCAGUCAAGAUGAUGAUGGGGGUGCAAAACCACAUGUGGCCAUGGAAUUCGAAUCAGAAGAAGCUGCCAAGACCUUCUAUGAUCAAUAUGCCAGGCGUGUGGGUUUUAGCACCCACGUAGGUCAGUUCAGCCGUACUAAGCCUGAUGGGCCAAUCAUUUCUUGGGAUUUUGCAUGUUCUAGGGAGGUUUUUAAAAGAAAGAAUGUUGAAAGCUGCAAUGCAAUGCUUAGGAUAGAGAGAAAGGAUUCAGACAAUUGGAUUGUGACAAAAUUUGUGGAGGACCAUAACCAUUCUACAAUCACUCCCAGCAAGGUCCAUUACCUUCGACCCCGUAGGCAUUUUGCUGGUACUACAAAAAGUGUGGCCGAACCAUAUGAUGCUCCAAGUGAUAUCUAUGUUUCCAUUGAUGGAAAUCAUGUAUCUUAUGAACCAAUUCGUGGAGUUGGAAAUGCCUCCCCUCUAGAGCCAAAUCUCCCAGCUAGAAGUAUUGGGCCCGCCAAUUAUGUUAGACCUACCCGAAAAAGAACCCUUGGAAGAGAUGCUCAGAAUCUCUUGAAUUAUUUCAAGAAGAUGCAGGCUGAGAACCCUGGCUUCUAUUAUGCAAUCCAACUUGAUGAUGAUAACCGUAUGACUAAUGUUUUUUGGGCUGAUGCAAGAUCAAGGACAGCUUAUAAUUACUUUGGUGAUGCAGUCAUCUUUGACACAAUGUAUAGACCAAAUCAGUUUCAGGUUCCAUUUGCUCCUUUCACCGGGGUUAAUCAUCAUGGUCAGAUGGUAUUAUUUGGCUGUGCAUUACUUCUGGACGAGUCCGAGUCUUCCUUUACGUGGCUUUUCAAGACAUGGCUAUCUGCAAUGAAUGAUUGCCCUCCUGUUUCUAUAACCACAGACCAAGACAGAGCCAUACAGGUAGCUGUUGCACAUGUGUUCCCAGAAACUCGCCACUGCAUUUGCAAGUGGCACAUCUUGAGAGAAGGCCAAGAGAGGUUGGCUCACAUAUACCUUGCUCAUCCUUCCUUCUACGGAGAGCUGUACAGCUGUAUCAACUUUUCGGAGACAAUUGAGGAUUUUGAAUCUUCAUGGGCCUCUCUCCUUGAUAGAUAUGAUCUACAGAAAAAUGAGUGGCUCCAAGCAGUAUAUAAUGCUCGCAGGCAGUGGGCCCCAGUUUAUUUUCGGGGCACUUUCUUUGCUGCUAUUUCUUCAAACCAAGGGGUUAGCUCCUUUUUUGAUGGUUAUGUGAAUCAACAGACCACCAUACCAGUGUUUUUUAAGCAGUAUGAAAGGGCUUUAGAAAAUUCAUUGGAAAAGGAAAUAGAAGCAGAUUAUGACACAAUUUGUACUAACCCAGUACUGAAAACACCAUCACCAAUGGAACAACAGGCAGCAAACCUCUAUACCAAAAAGGUUUUUGCAAAGUUUCAAGAGGAAUUAGUUGAAACUUUUGUUUAUACUGCAAAUAAGGUCGAGGAUGAUGGGGUGGCCAGUAAAUACAGGGUUGCUAAAUAUGAACUUGAUCACAAAGCGUACAUGGUUACAUUGAAUGUUUCUGAGAUGAAAGCAAGUUGCAGUUGUCAAAUGUUUGAGUACUCGGGCAUUCUCUGUAGACAUAUACUGACAGUAUUUACUGUAACUAAUGUUCUUACUCUUCCAUUCCAUUACAUUUUGAAGAGAUGGACAAGGAAUGCAAAGACUGGGGUUGGAUCAGAUGAACAAGAAUUAGAUCAACAUGGUAUUGAGUCUCUGACUGUGCGCUUCAACAAUCUCUGUCGAGAAGCCAUUAAAUAUGCAGAAGAAGGAGCUAUUGCUGUAGAUACCUACAAUGCAGCAAUGGGUGUUUUAAGAGAGGGUGGAAAGAAAAUUGCUGCUGUGAAGAAAGUUGUUGCUAAGAUUAUACCUCCCACCUCUCAGGGCAGCGGAAAUAAUCAAGAAGACAGUAACAAGAAAUCCCCGGUAUCAGCUUCUGAAAUUGCACCAUCUUUGUGGCCUUGGCAAGAUGCAAUGCCCCAUCGCUUUAAUCUUAACGACAUUGGAGUUCCUGUUGCUGAUUUGAAUCAGCCUAGCAUGGCGCCUGUGUCUAUUCAUCAUGAUGGUGGUCCCUCUGAUAACCCGGUGGUUCUCACUUGUUUUAAGUCCAUGACCUGGGUCAUUGAAAAUAAGAAUUCAACACCAGCUGGUAAAGUGGCUGUCAUCAACCUGAAGCUGCAAGAUUAUGGAAAAAGUCCUUUGGGGGAGACAGAGGUGCAGUUUAGGUUAACAAGGGUCACACUGGAGCCUAUGUUGAGAUCCAUGGCCUACAUCAGUCAGCAACUAUCAACUCCAGCUAAUAGGGUUGCUGUUAUCAAUCUUAAGCUCCAAGAUACUAAGACAACUUCUGGAGAAACUGAGGUGAAAUUUCAAGUUUCUAGAGAUACCCUAGGUUCCAUGUUGAGAUCAAUGGCUUACAUCCGUGAGCAGCUUUGAAAAGUUGUUAUGCUAAGCUGGAUUCGGUUAGACUGCAUCGGGGGCUUUGGGGCUGAGUUAGCAAGAAUAAGAAGAAAAAUAAAGAAAAGAAAAGCAUGAAGUACUACGCAUCUGAUGGCAAGUCAGCAAGCAAGAAUCACCACAUCACAACAUUUCCUUUAGCAAAGAGGAGACUCGAAUAAGAUCCACAUCACUUGAAAUGCAGCAGUAGCAAUAGAGGCAUUGAAAGUUGUGGGCUUUAAAGUAUAUAACCGGUUGUGUAUUAUGUUAAUUCUCCGUUGACACAUUUGGUGUAGUUGUAGUUAGGUUUCGCUGUUUUAUUCUAACUUCUUUUUCCCCCCUUCUUUUUUGGGUUUCUGGGCUAAUGACCCAAUGUUCUAAUGUAAGCAAUUGUUGGUAACUUGUUUCUGUACAUGUGAGUUGUGAAAGCCCAGAUAUUGAAUCCAAGGAUGAAUUCAGAGAAUUUAUAUUUCAGUUUAGAGGAUGUAGUGAGGUUUUCUUUUGUAUGGGUAUUGGGUAUAGUGCUAGGUUGUUGCCUACUUCAAUCCUCCCCACCUGGACUCUGAUGAUGCAUAUCUUGUAUUGUAUGAGUAUCACCCCAAAACUCCUAGACUUAUUGAAUUAUUCUCAAUAAUUUUAGUAAAAGAUUCAUUCCUUGUUA